GAUGAAGAACGCAGUGAAAUGCGAUAAGUAAUGUGAAUUGCAGAAUUCAGUGAAUCAUCGAAUCUUUGAACGCACCUUGCACCCUUUGGCUAUUCCGAAGGGUAUGCCUGUUUGAGUAUCAUGAACACCUCAACUCUUAUGGUUUGCCAUGAUGAGCUUGGACUUUGGGGGUCUUGCUGGCCUGUGGUCAGCUCCUCUCAAAUGGAUUAGCUUGCCAGUGUUUGGUGGCAUCACAGGUGUGAUAACUAUCUACGCUUGUGGUUUUCCACCAGGUAACCUUCAGCAAUGGGGGUUCGCUGGGGCUCAUAAAUGUCUCUCCUCAGUGAGGACAGCUCUUUGAACGUUUGAUCUCAAAUCAGGUAGGACUACCCGCUGAACUUAAGCAUAUCAAUAAGCGGAGGA
rnacentral:misc_RNA from 1 species